rnacentral:rRNA from 1 species
AGAGUUUGAUCAUGGCUCAGAGUGAACGCUGGCGGCAGGCUUAACACAUGCAAGUCGAACGCACCGCAAGGUGAGUGGCAGACGGGUGAGUAACGCGUGGGAACAUUCCCUUCAGUACAGGAUAGCCCCGGGAAACUGGGAUUAAUACUGUAUAUUAUCUACGGAUGAAAGAUUUAUCGCUGAAGGAUUGGCCCGCGUAAGAUUAGUUAGUUGGUGAGGUAAUGGCUCACCAAGACUGUGAUCUUUAGCUGGUCUGAGAGGAUGAUUAGCCACACUGGAACUGAGACACGGUCCAGACUCCUACGGGAGGCAGCAGUGAGGAAUAUUGGACAACGGAGGCAACUCUGAUCCAGCCAUGCCGCGUGAAUGAUGAAGGCCCUAGGGUUGUAAAGUUCUUUUAGUUGGGAAAAUAAUGAUGGUACCAACAGAAAAAGCUCCGGCUAACUUCGUGCCAGCAGCCGCGGUAAUACGAAGGGAGCUAGCGUUACUCGGAAUUACUGGGCGUAAAGCGCAUGUAGGCGGACUUACAAGUCAGAGGUGAAAUCCCAGGGCUCAACCCUGGAAUUGCCUUUGAAACUGCAAGUCUUGAGUAUGACAGAGGAUGGUGGAAUUUCCAGUGUAGAGGUGAAAUUCGUAGAUAUUGGAAGGAACACCGGUGGCGAAGGCGACCAUCUGGGUCAUUACUGACGCUGAGAUGCGAAAGCGUGGGGAGCAAACAGGAUUAGAUACCCUGGUAGUCCACGCCGUAAACGAUGAGUGCUAGCUGUUGGCAAUUGCCAGUGACACAGUUAACACGUUAAGCACUCCGCCUGGGGAGUACGGUCGCAAGAUUAAAACUCAAAGGAAUUGACGGGGACCCGCACAAGCGGUGGAGCAUGUGGUUUAAUUCGAUGCUACGCGAAAAACCUUACCACCCUUUGACAUGUUAGAUUUGGACUUUGUAAUGGAAGUCCUUCGGUUCGGCCGGUCUAAACACAGGUGUUGCAUGGCUGUCGUCAGCUCGUGUCGUGAGAUGUUGGGUUAAGUCCCGCAACGAGCGCAACCCUCAUCCUUAGUUGCCAUCGGGUAAAGCCGGGAACUCUAGGGAAACUGCCCGUGACAAGCGGGAGGAAGGUGGGGACGACGUCAAGUCAUCAUGGCCCUUACAGGGUGGGCUACACACGUGCUACAAUGGCAGUGACAAUGGGACGCUACACAGCGAUGUGAUGCCAAUCUCAAAAAGCUGCCUCAGUUCAGAUUGGAGUCUGCAACUCGACUCCAUGAAGCUGGAAUCGCUAGUAAUCGCGGAUCAGCAUGCCGCGGUGAAUACGUCCCCGGGUCUUGUACGCACUGCCCGUCACGCCAUGGGAGUUGGUUAUACCUGAAGCUGGUGAGCUAACCGCAAGGAAGCAGCCAUCCACGGUAUGAUCAGUGACUGGGGUGAAGUCGUAACAAGGUA